rnacentral:lncRNA from 1 species
GAAAAUUCAUCAUAUAUUCAUUUAUUCACGAAUACAUAUAUAUACUUGUUUAAUUAAUGGAAAAUAAAGAUACACAUCGACGUAGUAAACAGAAAAAAUAAUAAUUUCUUGAUGCAUUAUGUACAUAUAUGCUUGCGUCCUCAUCUUUAUGUAGCAUAUCAGGAAAGAUGUUGGAUGCACGGCAUAUACAUAGCAGAUUUUUGUAGAAAGAUAUGUAUGUGUAAUUUGAAAUGUAUGUAUAGAAGACUUGCAAGCUAAUGAUGACCGAUGCCGGGGCUCGGUACCGAUCCCUGGACGACGACACUAGCACGCCUACGCUUGGCACCGGCGAUUUUCAUCUUGCGGUACGCCGCAGAUGGCAUUGGUGGCGGUGGCGCCAUGAAUACUUGCAGAAAAUCUGGAGAGGAGGAUGAUGAUGAAGUUGCACUACUGACAGUCUUCUUGGCGUGCACUUGUUCUUGACCGCUUGGCAUCAUCCUAGCCUGCACCAGAGAGUGCAUCGACGAUGCUAACACAAGCAAGCAAAGGAUCACAAUGGCCUGAGAGGAAGCCAUGGACAAUUAAUUAAGCUAGGUUUCAAGAGAGUUUAUGUAGGUAGUGUUUGUGUAUGGAUCAAUUCAGUGUGAGAGGAACUGAAUGGCUUUGUGUGUGUGUGUGUCUGC